rnacentral:rRNA from 1 species
GAACUGAAGAGUUUGAUCAUGGCUCAGAUUGAACGCUGGCGGCAGGCCUAACACAUGCAAGUCGAGCGGUAGAGAGAAGCUUGCUUCUCUUGAGAGCGGCGGACGGGUGAGUAAUGCCUAGGAAUCUGCCUGGUAGUGGGGGAUAACGUCCGGAAACGGACGCUAAUACCGCAUACGUCCUACGGGAGAAAGCAGGGGACCUUCGGGCCUUGCGCUAUCAGAUGAGCCUAGGUCGGAUUAGCUAGUUGGUGAGGUAAUGGCUCACCAAGGCGACGAUCCGUAACUGGUCUGAGAGGAUGAUCAGUCACACUGGAACUGAGACACGGUCCAGACUCCUACGGGAGGCAGCAGUGGGGAAUAUUGGACAAUGGGCGAAAGCCUGAUCCAGCCAUGCCGCGUGUGUGAAGAAGGUCUUCGGAUUGUAAAGC